AUGGCACAGUCUGAUAAGGGGAUGCCUCAAGUUGGCAUGUUAUUUAAAAGUUCAGAGGAGGCUUGGCUAUUUUGGAGAGCAUAUGGUGGUCGUGCUGGCUUUGAUGUGAGGAAAAGGUACAACAAUGUGAGCAAAUUUGAUGGUAAGAUAACCUCUUGCAGAUUUGUUUGUGCCAAUGAAGGCCAUCGGAAAAAAGGGCAAAGGGAAUCCGUUCAGAAGUGCUUUAGAGCUGAAACAAGAACUGAUUGCAAAGCUCGGAUGAGUCUUACAUUGGAUCGAGAGUCUGAAAACUUGGAAGUCACUGAUGUAGUUCUUGAGCAUAAUCACCUCCUUCACUUGCCACAAACCCGCCACUUGAUGGCGUCCCAAAGGAAAAUUUCAGAAUUUCAAUCUUUUGAAAUCGAAGCAGCGGAUGAUUCUGGAGGAAAAACUCAAUGCAUCUACUAG
rnacentral:rRNA from 1 species